rnacentral:tRNA from 1 species
GGGGUUGUGGCUCAGAGGUAGAGUGCUUGCCUAGCAUGCAUGGGGCACUGGGUUCCAUCCUCAGCACCA